rnacentral:lncRNA from 1 species
AGCUUGUGACUCAUUGAUAUACCAAUCAGAAAACACAUUUAAAAUAUAUUCAACUAACUCAUUGAUAUACCAAUUAGAAAACAGAUUUAAAAUAUAUUCAACUAACAUCCAAACUCAGUUUAUUACAAUAUUCCACACAAUCACAAUAUAACCAUACAAUAUUCCACCAAUCACAAUACAACACAUAAAACGCUCAACAAGUAUAGGAACGUCUCCAACACCUUAUAGUGCCUUCAACCUGCAAAACAUCAACAUCCAUCCACAUAUUAACCAUUGAGUUGAGAUCAAUUCACCCCUUGACGGAAAUAAGAAUAUGCGCUCAUGUAUGAACAAAACUAAAAUAAACAAACUUUGAGGCCAUAGCAUGUGCUACAAAAAUGUUAACAAUUUUUUUAAUAAUUUGUGGUAGCUUGUUCAAAUUCUACUGCAAGGAUUUCAGAUAUGUAUGUAUACUCAAAGUUUCAUAGAUAUUUGUGUGCAAAAUUAAUCUCCCGGUUUCAGAUACGUGUGUAUGCAAACUUAAUCGAUUCCUGGUGCUACUCCUAGUGCACACUUAUUAGAUAUACAGAAAUCAUGGUUAAAAUUCACAUGUACAUGUCCUGGUCCAGUCAAUCACUUACCUUCGUGAUUGCAUCCAUGUCAUGAAGCAGGACAUGGCUGAAUUGGCCUUCACUCACACCAACCAUGUAUAUGAGAAUGAUCAGUCAGCCAAUGAGGUCCAUUGAUUGCACAAGAUGAAAAGAACAUCCUGAAUUUGGGCACAUAUAUACCUAUAGAAAUAGCAGCAUCUCAAUCACUGUAUAAUCAGCAAGCACACAUAGCAGCAGUAAUAAGAACUCUCUGAAUCACAAACACUAAUCAGCACCCCUCUAUGCCAAUCUAUCUCCAACGGAUGAAACAACAAUAUCUCACUCAUCUCAGACGAAUCCUCUCCCAUCUCCCUCUCUCUGAAUCUCAUAUCACCUGAAGCAUAACAUGAGCUCGUUAAUAGACCAACCAAUUUCAUGUUUUUUCUAAUAAAAAGGAAGAGCCAAACUGUAUCUUAUCAUAUGAGGAGAAGAAAAAUAUAAGGGGUCAUACUUAUUCUGCGCCUAUUACGCUGGACCACACCACAUCUUCCAACAUGCUAUCCAAGACUAGCACUAGAAGAUGAAACACACAUAAUGUGUGUGAUGAACAACGGGUUUUAAGGCCAAACACACAUCAGGACGCUGAUAUAAGCCGACGGUACAUUCCCCACGGAGGAGGGAAACUGAGGAAUAAGCCAGCAGCCCCCUCACCUCCAGUACAAGGCUGUUCUCCGGAGAUAUAUGAGAAAGGCAAGCAUCGCGACCCUGCCAUUUACUCGAAGCUACGGGACACACACAGGAUAAAUAAAGAGAAAAACCAACAUCCCCUUUCUUUGCUCCCUUGAGCGUUGGCACAUAAUAAUGCGCUUGAUUGGGACAUGGGUUAACUGAAAUGUUGUGACGUGGUAAUUCCAUGAUGGAGGAAGUACUAGCUAGUACUCCCUCAGUUCCUAAAUAUAUGUCUUUUUAGAGGUUCCACUAGUGGGCUAUAUAUGGUUAUAUAUAGACAUACUUUAGAGUGUAUAUUCAUUCAUUUUACUCCGUAUGUAGACCCCUAGUGAAAUCUUUUAAAAGACUUAUAUUUAGGAACGGAGGGAGUACAUACACACAUGUCACACCGAGACAGAAUCCCCACACCCGCUCUGUUUACCGAAUGGAGGGAGGAAGUGACGAGAUCCCCUGUCCAUCCCUGUUGAGGGCUCAGCACCAUGCAGCACGGGCGGACCUAACGAGGCUCGCAGGUUGGGUUCAAGAUUCCGAGGGUACGGCUGGGUAGGGUUAGCAUGUCGCACCGCUAGAAGUAAAAGAAACAAAACAAGAGGGAAAAAAUAACGGAGAAGGAAGGGAGCAUAUCGGAUGAACCAGCCCAACGGAUGAAGAAGCAGCAAGCAAAUAUAGAGGCAUCUCCCUCUUGGCUCUCUCCCCACCCCCAAAUCGAGCCCACCGUCGCUCCCGUCAUCCCCUUCAACAGCGGCAAUGAGUCUGGGACACAUGUCCAUCCCGCUCGGCUCUCUCCCCACCGCAGGGGAUACAUCGCAUCCCCGUGUGCAGCCCCGGCGACCGUGGCACGCCCUCUAUCUACAUCCUGGCAGUGUCGCCUCUCCCUCCUCCAACUUUCUAUGCUUUGCUCGAUCUAAGAGAAAAUCAAGGGUAGGACGGACCUGUGAUGCGGAGGACAUGACGUGGUGACGGGAACGAUCUGCCCGGAGGUGGAGGCGGGAAUGAUCUGCUAUUUGUACUCCUUGAGACGCGCCUUGAGCUCAUGGUCCUCCUCCGACUGCGAAAGGCUUGAAACACGAGUCACGCGACCACACCCGUAAGAGAGAGGAUGAGUGGCGCCCCCGCCCCAUGGGAAGAAAGCAGAGGAAGAGAAGGGGGGAAGCUCUGGGGUCGUCGUUGCUCACCGGGUUGUCCCCCUUCGUCUUCCCCUUUCCCUUGGCCGGCUGUGGCAGGGCGUGGGAGGCGGCAUGAACUCUGUCGCCGCCACUAGCAUCCUCGUGCGACGAGGGAGAGCAGAUUAGGAUUUGGAUCUCCGUCUGGAUCGGGGGAGGAUAGGGACUGAGGGAGGAGGCGGCGGAAGGAAGUUAAACGAGGGAGCAGAGGGUGUCGUGCACUGCGUUUAGGUUUAGCUAUAUGAGAGGCGAGUGAGAGGCGAGUGAGAGACGUUGGAUCCGCAG